rnacentral:lncRNA from 1 species
CUCUUCAGGAGGAGAGGGAGGAGGCAAGAAGAUCUAAAGAUCAAGGUCUGCCUGGGAUGCAAUGGCCCACAGAAGAUUAUAUUAACUGUAUGAGGGAUCCAGAGAAAAGAUCAUCCUACCUGUGCCCUGGACUCAGACUCACUUCAACAAAUACUCCCAGCAUCUUGAAGGUUCCAGUGUUCUCAUGUGGACUUCCAGCUCAUGGUCUUCCUACACCAGCUGCCAAGGGGUUGUUACAACUACUUAAGACAGGAGCCUAGGAUACCUGUCUUUUGUGAUGCUUUGUCAAGAAUCUGAUGGAAACAGAUGCAGAGACCAUGUGAUGGCUUGGCCCAGGGAAUGGCAUUAUUAUAAGGUGUAGCCUUGUUGGAGUAAGUUUGUCACUGUGGAUGUGUGCUUUAAAACCCUCAUCUUAGCUGCCUUGAAGCCUGUAUUCUGCUAGCAGCCUUCAGGAAAAAAUGCAGAACUCUCACCUCCUUCUGCAACAUGCCUGCCUGGAUGUUUCCAUGUUCCUGCCUUGAUGAUAAUGGACUGAAACUCUGAGCCUAUAAGUCCACCCCAAUUAAACUUUAUUUUCACAAGAGUUGCCUUGAUCAUGGUAUCUGUCCAUAGCAGUAAAACCCUAACUAAGAAUAACCCACUGCUAAAGAAUAGGCAGAUUUAAUGGGGCCUUGUGGAAGAGUGGGAGGAUUGAGGGAGCUGGAGGAGUCAAGGACAUCACAACAAGAUCUUCAG